AUUGAACGCUAGCGGGAUGCUUUACACAUGCAAGUCGAACGAGUGGCGGACGGGUGAGUAAUAUACCGGAACGUGCCCAGUAGCGGGGGAUAACUACUCGAAAGAGUGGCUAAUACCGCACACUAUUGGAGCGGCCGAUAUCGGAUUAGCUAGUUGGUGGGGUAAAGGCUCACCAAAGCAACGAUCCGGAGCUGGUUUGAGCGGACGACAAGCGACACUGGGACUGAGACACGGCCCAGACCACUACGGUAGUCAGCAGUGGGGAAUUGUGGACAAAGGGGGAAACCCUGAUCCAGCCAUCCCGCGUGUAUGAGAAGGCCUUCGGGUUUUAAAGUACUUUUGGCAGAGAAGCGGUAUCUGCAGAAUAAGCACCGGCUAACUACGUGCCAGCCGCCGCGGUAAUUC
rnacentral:rRNA from 1 species